rnacentral:lncRNA from 1 species
AUGCGUCCGGGGUCUCGGAGAGCUCGAGGGUCGCCCACGUGGGGGCUGCUGCUGCUACUGGGACUAUCGUGGCCCGUGUGGGGGACGAAGGAGUUUCAAGGAAACACCCUUGGAAAGCCAGUCGUUCUGCAUUGGAGCCUAGAUGGACGACCCCAGCGCAUGGUCACCCUGGAGGAGCCGGUCCCAAAGCUAGAAGUGAGGCUGGUGGCCUUGGAGGCUGAAGGUCAAGAGCUCCUGCUAGAGCUGGAGAAGAAUCACAGGCUGCUGGCCCCAGGAUACACAGAAACCCACUACAGCCCAGAUGGGCAGCCGGUAGUGCUGUUCCCCAACCACAAGGAUCACUGCCACUACCAUGGGCAUGUGAGGGGCUUCCCGGACUCCUGGGUGGUCCUCAGCAUCUGCUCUGGGAUGAGGGGCCUGAUCACACUCAGCAGCAAUGCCAGCUAUUAUGUGCAUCCCUGGCCAGCUGGGGACUCCAAGGACUUCUUGACCCAUAGGAUCUUCCGGGUGGAGCAGCUGUUCAGCGGGAAAGGAACCUGUGGCCACAGGGACCCAGGGGACAAAAGGGACAUGACCAGCCUUUUGUGUGCCACCCAGAUCAGGGAGAGGCGGGAGUCCCUCCGAAGCCCGAGGUACCUGGAGCUGUACAUAGUGGGGGACCACACCCUGUUUUUGACUCAGCACCGGAACUUGAACCACGCCAAACAGCGUCUUCUGGAGGUCGCCAAUUAUGUGGAUCAGAUUCUCAGGACUUUGGACAUUAAGGUGGUGCUGACCGGCCUGGAAGUGUGGACCGAGCAGGACCAGAGCCGCGUCACGCCAGACGCGAACGCCACGCUGUGGGCCUUCCUGCAGUGGCGCCGGGGGCUGUGGGCGCGGCAGCCACACGACUCUGCUCAGCUGCUCACGGGCCAAGCUUUCCGGGGCGCGACAGUGGGCCUGGCACCCGUCGCGGGCAUGUGCCUCGCGGAGAGCUCUGGAGGCGUGACGACAGACCACUCGGAGUUCUCCAUUGGUGCUGCAGCCACCAUGGCCCACGAGAUAGGCCACAGCCUGGGCCUCAGCCACGACCCCCACGGCUGCUGCGCGGAGGCGGCGGUGGAGCAGGGCGGCUGCGUGAUGGCGGCGGCUACCGGGCACCCGUUCCCUCGCGUGUUUAGCGCCUGCAGCCGCCGCCAGCUGCGCGCCUUCUUCCGAAAGGGAGGGGGCGCUUGUCUCUCCAACGCGCCGGACUCCGGGCUCCUGGUGCCGCAGGCGCGCUGCGGGAACGGCUUUGUAGAAAAGGGCGAGGAGUGCGAUUGCGGCGCCGGCCAGGAGUGCCCCGACUCCUGCUGCCUGGGCCACAGCUGCUCGCUGCGUGCGGGAGCCCAGUGCACCCACGGGGACUGCUGCGCGCACUGCCUGCUGAAGCCGGCGGGCACGCCAUGCCGCCCGGCUGCGGGCGACUGUGACCUCCCCGAAUUCUGCACCGGAGCCUCCCCUUAUUGCCCGCCGGACAUUUACCUACUGGACGGCUCGCCCUGCGCGAGAGGCCGCGGCUACUGUCGGGACGGCGCGUGUCCCACGCUGGAGCAGCAGUGCCAGCAGCUCUGGGGGCCUGGCUCGCGCCCAGCCCCGGAGGCUUGCUUCCAGGUCUUGAACUCCGCCGGAGACGCCCAGGGGAACUGCGGCCAGCAGGGGGACGGCAACUUCGUACCCUGUGCGCAGAGGGAUGCGCAGUGUGGGAAACUGCAGUGCCAGGGCGGGGAACAGAGCGCACUGGUGCCACACGCGGUUCCGGUGGACUCCACCGUACACCUGGGCAGCCGCGAGGUGACUUGCAGGGGAGCUUCCGUGCUGCCCGGUGCCCAGCUGGACCUGCCUGACUUGGGCCUGGUAGAGGCAGGCACCCAGUGUGGACCUAGAAUGGUGUGCCAGGAAAGGCGCUGCCAGAACACUACUUUCCGAGAGCUGGAGCUCUGCCUGAUGGCCUGCCAUGGCCACGGGGUUUGCAAUAGUAACCGUAACUGCCAUUGUGCUCCAGGCUGGGCUCCGCCUUCCUGUGACAAGCCAGGGUUGGGUGGCAGUGUGGACAGCGGUCCUGUGCAGCCUCAAAACCGGGACGCCUUCACACUGGCGGUGAUCCUUAGCUCUGUGAUGCCUCUGCUCCCUGGGGCUGGCCUGGCCUGGUGCUGCUGCCGGCGUCCCGGACUCUGUCUCCAGCGAUGCUUCUGGGGCUCCAGGAGGGACCUCAUGUGCAGUGGAUCCAAAGAUGGCCCAUGCAGAGGCCACCCUCUGGGCAGCAUUCACCCAAUGGAGUUGCGCCUGACAGCCCCUCAGGAGCCCCAGCCCUUCGACCUUGAGAACUCUGCUAGAACCCAACAGCCACCUUGAGAAGCCUGUUCCUCAUAGUCCUGCUUGUACCCCUAAG